UACGUAGGGUCCGAGCGUUGUUCGGAAUUAUUGGGCGUAAAGGGCUCGUAGGCGGUUUGUCACGUCGGGAGUGAAAACUCGGGGCUCAACCCCGAGCCUGCUUCCGAUACGGGCAGACUAGAGGUAUGCAGGGGAGAAUGGAAUUCCUGGUGUAGCGGUGAAAUGCGCAGAUAUCAGGAGGAACACCGGUGGCGAAGGCGGUUCUCUGGGCAUUACCUGACGCUGAGGAGCGAAAGUGUGGGGAGCGAACAGG
rnacentral:rRNA from 1 species